UACGUAGGCAGCAAGCGUUUGUUCGGAGUUACUGGGCGUAAAGGGUGUGUAGGCGGUUCUUUUAAGUUUGGUGUGAAAUCUCCCGGCUCAACCGGGAGGGUGCGCCGAAUACUGAGGGACUAGAGUGCGGGAGAGGAAAGUGGAAUUCCUGGUGUAGCGGUGAAAUGCGUAGAUAUCAGGAGGAACACCGGUGGUGUAGACGGCUUUCUGGACCGUAACUGACGCUGAGACACGAAAGCGUGGGUAGCAAACAGG
rnacentral:rRNA from 1 species